rnacentral:lncRNA from 1 species
CCAAUGGUGAUCCUUCUUUCUUGGGAUCCUCUCCAAUUUCUUCUUGUUGUCUUCUAUCUUCAAUUUGCAAUCUUCCCAUGGAGGUCUCCAAACCCAACAAAUCAUCAAAACUCUCUCUUUCUUGGAGAUAAUUGUUCGAUUCAUCAAAAAUAACAUGGAUGGACUCCUUUACAACCAUGGUUCUUUUGUUAAAAACUCUAAAAGCUUUACUUGAAGUUGAGUAACCAAGGAAAAUUCCAACAUCCAAUUUUGC